CAGUCGCCGCGGGAAUACAGAGGGUGCGAGCGUUAAUCGGAUUUACUGGGCGUAAAGCGUGCGUAGGCGGCUUUUUAAGUCGGAUGUGAAAUCCCUGAGCUUAACUUAGGAAUUGCAUUCGAUACUGGGAAGCUAGAGUAUGGGAGAGGAUGGUAGAAUUCCAGGUGUAGCGGUGAAAUGCGUAGAGAUCUGGAGGAAUACCGAUGGCGAAGGCAGCCAUCUGGCCUAAUACUGACGCUGAGGUACGAAAGCAUUGGGAGCAAACAGGAUUAGAUACCCGAGUAGUCCCUGUCUCUUAUAC
rnacentral:rRNA from 1 species